UUCUCCCAUGCCUCCAGGAGAGGGCUCUGCU
rnacentral:tRNA from 1 species